rnacentral:rRNA from 1 species
UGUGGUUAGGGGUGAAAGGCCAAUCAAACUCGGAAAUAGCUGGUUCUCCGCGAAAUCUAUUUAGGUAGAGCCUCGCAUGUAUCCCUCAGGGGGUAGAGCACUGGAUGGGCUAGGGGGACUUACCGUCUUACCAAACCUAACCAAACUCCGAAUACCUGGAAGAACUGUGCGGGAGGCACACGGCGGGUGCUAACGUCCGUUGG